rnacentral:tRNA from 1 species
GGUGGCUCAGUGGUAGAGCGCUUGCCUUACAAGCAUGAGGUCCUGAGUUUGAUUCCUCAGCACCA